AAAGAAAAGUACAAGUUUUGCAUACAAGGACCUGUCUUGACAAACUGAAGGCUGAUAUUGCUGAAGGAAUGGACAAAGAAUUGAGUAAAUUAUUCACAGAAACGCAGAAAAAUGGCAGAACAACAUAGUUAGGUUAAUAUAUUCUACUUUCUUCCUUAGAUGGCCCUACAAAACCACAAAUUUUCAGUUAAUUAGAAAAGUAACCAAACGUACCUUCCGAAAUCCAACAUAAAAAAUUAGGCUCCACAGCUCCAUAAUAUUGGUAUAUUUUUAUUCGGAUAAGGUAAAACCCAAAAAAUGAAAAAUAAAAUUGGAAGAAGAAGAAGUAUUAGUUGCAUAAUCAAAAUCACAUCAAGGAAAAUGAAAAAAAUAAUAAUAAAAAUAAAAAUAAAAUUUUGUGGGUGCUAAACCUCUUCAUUUUGCUGUAAAGACUUCCUUUUUCCUCACCCACAUAUGAGCUCAAACUGUGAAAUUUGUUAAGUGUUUUGUGGUCAAAUGCAGCGGUAUUUAUGAUGUUAUAAAUCAGCACUGAGGGACCUGUCGGUACUUUCGUGUCAAGUGGUGACGGUGGUGGCACUGCAGCGGCAGCAGUAUAUGGAUAAGCUUUUAGUGCCAUAUCAAAUGGCUAUUGGCUAAUAUUUGCGGUCAGCUUCUGCAGGCGGCCUCUUUUCAGCAUUUUUCACAGCAACUUUAGGCUGAAUAAAAUGGGGAAGGAGCCGGGAAUACUGAUAAAAAGCCAUAUAUUAAUCCAGAAGGGGAAAAUCGAGAAGGAAGGCUGACAGAAAGAGUAGUGAGCACGCGCAUCCACAAAGGUAUACUCUUUAUACAAUUGCCUGCGUGUGCUCACUCUCUUCUGUCAGUACUCUCGUCGAUCGCGUCCUUCUGAAACACAAAACGCGUAGGUUUCUUGACAGAGAUGCUCUAUAUGUUUUUUCUUUUUGGCUAACAUUAAUAUCAGAUCUGAAAACCAAAGACACUCCCACUUUUGGAAAGAAAAACCCACAAACCCUUUACUUACACGCUCAAACAAAUCAUUUAACAACUAGGGUUUUAGAGUCCCCGUGUUCAUACUUGAUAUUCGUAAUUCAUCUAUUAAUUUUUGUGUGCUAAUAAAACCUACCCCCUCCCCCAAACCACCUCUUCCGAAGAAGGUCUGAAUAGACUCUUUCAUUUUCAUUAUCUUCAUGGAUCAAACUAAUCAAGAAAACGCCAUUCUCAAUUUCCAAACUGUUGAUUCGAGAACACACUUUUACAGAAGACCUUAAAGAAGUGAUUAUAUCUGUGGCAUAUGAGAACUUUUACUUUCUCCUCCACAACAUAAUUGUGGUUUGGCUAUUAGUCAUCCAAUCGAUCGCUGCAUCAUCGUACACCAAAAGGACAAUAUCACAUACAGGUGAGGUUUGAAGAAGGCUUUAGAAAGAGAGAGGUUUCGAUGAUAGAUUGGUUGGUCAGG
rnacentral:lncRNA from 1 species